AUCUAAAUAGUUUAUAAAGAACAUUGAUUUGUGGUGUCAAAAGUAUAAGAUUUAUUUUAGGUU
rnacentral:tRNA from 1 species